CCGUGCUAGGUGGGGAGGUAGCGGUUCCCUGUACUCGAAAUCCGCUUUACGCGAGACUGAAUUCCUUCGCUAAGGCUACGUUUUUGUGAAGUCUGCCCAAAGCACGUAGUGUUUGAAGAUUUCGGUCCUAUGCAAUAUGAACCCAUGAAUCAUGUCAGGUCCUGACGGAAGCAGCAUUAAGUGGAUUAUCGUAUGUGCCGUAGGGUUGCCGAGAUUUAGCUGUCGACUUUGGUAACGUUUAUGAUACGUAGUCGAAGCGAAGGUGCCGG
rnacentral:SRP_RNA from 2 species